rnacentral:misc_RNA from 1 species
CGAAAUGCGAUAAGUAAUGUGAAUUGCAGAAUUCAGUGAAUCAUCGAAUCUUUGAACGCACCUUGCGCUCCUUGGUAUUCCUUGGAGCAUGCCUGUUUGAGUAUCAUGAAAUCUUCAAAGUAAAUCUUUUGUUAACUCAAUUGGUUUCUACUUUGGUAUUGGAGGUCUUUGCAGCUUCACACCUGCUCCUCUUUGUUCAUUAGCUGGAUCUCAGUGUUAUGCUUGGUUCCACUCGGCGUGAUAAGUUAUCUAUCGCUGAGGACACUGUAAAAGGUGGCCAAGGUAAAUGCAGAUGAACCGCUUCUAAUAGUCCAUUGACUUGGACAAUACUUUUAUGAUCUGAUCUCAAAUCAUGUAGGACUACCCGCUGAACUUAAGC